UACAGGGGGUGCAAACGUUGCUCGGAAUUAUUGGGCGUAAAGCGCACGUAGGCGGUUCGUUAUGUCGGAUGUGAAAGCCCUUGGCUUAACCGAGGAAGUGCAUCCGAAACUGGCGAGCUAGAGUACGAAAGAGGAUCGCGGAAUUCCCGGUGUAGAGGUGAAAUUCGAAGAUAUCGGGAGGAACACCGGUGGCGAAGGCGGCGAUCUGGGUCGAUCCUGACGCUGAGGUGCGAAAGCGUGGGGAGCAAACAGG
rnacentral:rRNA from 1 species